GAGCCUAUCGUCUAAAGGUUAGGACAUUCUGCUCAUAACAGAAUUAUGGAGGUUCGAUUCCUUCUAGGCUUA
rnacentral:tRNA from 1 species